rnacentral:tRNA from 1 species
GUCCCUGUAGCGCAAAUAAAUAGCGCGUUGGACUUUUAAUCCAAAGGUUGUGGGGUCGAAUCCCACCUGGGAUG